UACGGAGGGGGCUAGCGUUGUUCGGAAUUACUGGGCGUAAAGCGCACGUAGGCGGACGUGUCAGUCAGGGGUGAAAUCCCGGAGCUCAACUUCGGAACUGCCUUUGAUACAGCACGUCUUGAGUCCGGAAGAGGUGGGUGGAAUUCCUAGUGUAGAGGUGAAAUUCGUAGAUAUUAGGAAGAACACCGGUGGCGAAGGCGGCCCACUGGUCCGGUACUGACGCUGAGGUGCGAAAGCGUGGGGAGCGAACAGG
rnacentral:rRNA from 1 species